AGAUUACAUCAUUAUUAAUUUUUUUUAGUGUGUGUACAUAUGUGUAUUGAGUGUACAUAUAUGCAUGUGCACAUAAUAUGGAGACCACAGGUUUACUUUCAAUAUUCUUCUUCAAGAUAGCAUUGCUCUUGGAUUUUUUUCAAGACAGGGCCUUCCACUGGACUGUGACUUGAUGAUUUGGUUUGGCUUGCUGACUGGUGAGCCCCAGGGACUCUCUCAUCUCUGCCUCUCCAGUGCUGAAAUUUCUGGGACAUCCCUGGCUAUUUCAUCUGGGCUGUAGAGAUUGGACUCAUGUCCUUAUGUCUGCAAGGUCAUUUACAUGGUACCUGCAUUCUCUGGCAUUUGGACAGCAUGGACCUUUUUUUUAUUUUCCCUGUGCACGAUGCUCUGUUUUAUUACAUGCAGUCCUAGAUCCAUAGAAUUAAGCUCAGAUUUUCAGGCUUGGCAUCAGAAGCCUUUACCCACGGAGCCAUCUCACCUGACGUGUGUGUAGUUUUGCAGAGAAUAACAAGAAAGACAUUUGCUGACACUGCCUCCUGUCUGGAUUUACAGAAUUAUAUCUUAGCAAGCAACGCAGAGGUGUUGCUGCUUUGAAAGAAUCUGCCGACACAAAAUAGAACGCGAGAAAAGAAACAGCACAAGAGUUGACCCUAAAGGUCGGAGUACCCAGAGCAAGAUAGAACCAGGAAGUGCGGCUGUCGGGCUGGGCCAGGGGCUGUUCAUCCCUGCUGCCUGCCAAGAACAUGCUCAUGAUCCUGUUUGCUGCUACUGCUGUUUGUAAAUACUUCAGUGGAGAAAUACAAAGAGAAGAUGCGAAUGCUGGGAGAAGACUAUAACAUUAAAGCAGAAAUUGAUUUAAAAAUCCAAGUUAGCAGAGGCAAUUACAAAUUCAAAGACGGAACCCAAAUCAGAUCGGGCAGAGAAAAUGUGUUUGCUGGGAGGAAGGAAGUGAGCUUAUAUAACGCCAAUUUCAAGUUGAUUUUGGACACAAACUUACCAAAUUUGACAACUACCCUUGCAAAGCAAGAACAUUUUUACUUUGAGUGGGAACAAUGAACGCUCUGUGUGUUUAAAUUGUUCUUCCUUUAGUAUGAUAGCCUUUUAAACAUUGAAUAUUGCAUUACUAUCUUUGAAUUUUUAAAUGGUUUUUACUUGCUAUGUAUUUUCAGUGAAUAGUCCAUUCUCUUAAUGCUGCUGGUGCUCAAAUGUCUGUAUGGGGAG
ensembl:lncRNA LOC120097031 uncharacterized LOC120097031